rnacentral:tRNA from 1 species
UCCCUGGAGGACUAGUGGUUAGGCCACAGCUCUCUCACUGCUGCUACUCGGGUUCGAUUCCCAGCCAGAGAA